UGAUCCUGGCUCAGGACGAACGCUGGCGGCGCGCCUAACACAUGCAAGUCGAACGAGAGAGAGGGAGCUUGCUUCCUUGAUCGAGUGGCGAACGGGUGAGUAACGCGUGAGGAACCUGCCUCAAAGAGGGGGACAACAGUUGGAAACGACUGCUAAUACCGCAUAAGCCCACGGCUCGGCAUCGAGCAGAGGGAAAAGGAGCAAUCCGCUUUGAGAUGGCCUCGCGUCCGAUUAGCUUAGG
rnacentral:rRNA from 1 species